CUGCUCCUCAGGGCAGAGGAAGGACAUGGAGAGGUGAAAAUCCCAGCUGUUGUUCACCCAGCAUCAUUAAACCCUGCAGCACUGAUUGGUGUCAGUGAUGGUGUUGGCUGCCCAAAUUUCACCAGAGCAGUGACACCCCUGGAAGCACAGAGGGCUUGUCCCUGAGCCCACAGUAAGGCGCCCAGUCUGGGAGCGGGUGGGGGCAAUUAAUUAGAGGCUGUUGCUCUGCCUACUGCCUGGCUGGGAGCUGCUGCUGGGACCUGCCUUGGGCUUCACACCAGUGCUGCAGAGAUUGGACCUUCCUGGCAAGAGGCUGCAGACCCUGAGCAGGGGGAGCAGAAGGCGUCGCCCUGCCCCUCAGCUUGUGCUCCCCAGGCCUCCUGCAGCUCUGCCAGCAUCUCCUCCAGGAUCUGCCGGGUCUCCUGGUACCUGUGUUGUGCCUCUGUCCAGGCUGCCAGCCCUUGGCUGCUCUGCAUCCUGCACACCUGAGCCUUCAUCUCCUGAAGCUUCUCCAGGGCAAACUCCACUGACAGCUUCUGGAAGGAGCUCUGCAGGCACUGCAGCGCCUGGCCCUCCCCACGCUUCACCCGGACUGAGCACUGCCUGCAGUCCAGCUUCGGCCCCAUGAUCUAGAAAAGAAGGCAAGGGUGGCUGUUUUCAUGGCUGCCCAGCCAGUACUGGGUCCUGCGGGAGGAGAGCCCACGCACCCACCUUGCUGGAGAACCUGCUGAGCUCCUGCAGCAGCUCCUGCUCAGCCUGCCGCCGCUCCACCUGCCUGUAGAAGCUCAUCAGCUUCGUCCGGAAAAGGGCUGCAGCCACCUGGAAGGUGUCUGCCUCAGGGAAAGCCAUAUCUUGGACCUCAGCUGCCUCCUGACACAGGGCCAAGCCAUGCUGGUACUGAGCCUGCAGGGACAGCAGGAAUGAACAUGCUCCACGCUCGGGAAAUGGUGCUGACCUGCUGCACUGGGGUGUGUGUGCAGGGUGAGGCUCUCUGCAGGUCAGCGCUCAGCAUUGCUAUCAAAGCUGUAUUGGAAAUGCUUCCGUGCAAGUGAGAAGAAACAAAGAGAAUGGGAGUUCUCAAAAUCUCUGCUCUGUUCUGUCUUGGCUCAAAAUGCACUGUUCUGUCCUGAGUGGAGCCACCUUGCUUUGUCCUCCCUGCAGGGCAGGUAACUAAAAGGCCUCCAUAUCUAGAGGCAUGGGAGGAACAAGUCCAUGUCACCACAUUUUUGUUGUCCAAUGGACAUCCAGGCUCUGCAGCCUGGCCCUGCAGGGGGCUGCGAAGGAUAGAGUGCAGGAUGGGUUGAGCACAGCAGCCCCAGCCCAAAGCGCACCGAGGAGCAGCACAAAUGUCCCCUUCACCAGAGCAGGGCUGCCCAAAGACCCCGGCAAAGCUGGGCUUGAAAACUGUGGCUUGACCCAGCCAGCCUGCGGACACCCAGUUUUGCCCAGAAGCCUCAUUCCGAAACUGGGGGAUUUGGGCUGAUUGUAGCAAACUUUGUAACAAUGUUUGAACGUUUCUAAUGUGGCAUUUUCAGUUUCUGCCAAGCGCCAGGCAGGGUCUGGAGCCACCUAACACACCGCUGGCAGCAAUACCUAGGGAUGCAUGUUACAGAAAAGACACCUUCACACAUACUGUUGCCUGGACGAGGAACUCGUUAAACUGCUCGGCAGAGCCCUGGAAGCUGUUGGGGCUCCACUCCUCAGUGCCCAUCUCCUGCAGCUGCGCUGCUGCCUCCCCGUCCAGCCAGCGCCCCAGCUGCAAAAGAGAGCGGGGCUGAGGGUCAGGCGGGACUGGCCGCUGGCGGCAGCGCUUCCGCAGCACCUCCCCUUCCUUCCAUGACCAGGGCAUCCCGACCCAGGCGUGGUUAUGCACAGUCAUCCCAUAACGAAAAUCAAAGCUGAGGCACUCCUGUUAUUCUCCGGGCUUCCGUCAUCAUCAAAAACUGAGGAAAUGUGCCCAAAAUGCUCAGCCAUGGGAACACCGCAGAGAAAAACUUCAACAUGCUGCACCCAGAGCAGCACCCCAGGGAUGCUCAACUCACCUUGCUGAACUUGGCCUGGAGUUCCUGGACCUUUCGGAGGAAUUCCAGGCGCUCCAGGCAGCUGUUGGACUGGGAUACCAGGUCAUGAAGCUCUUCCUCCAGCUGGCUGUACAGCCGCUCAGCUGUCUCCAUGCUGGUCCUGGUGGUUGGGGAGGAGAGGGGCUGUCAGUGCCGGUGUUGCCGGGCAAGCUGCGAGCUCCUCCUGAAGACGCCAGGUGAAGCACCUCUCUGGCGGGCAGCAGCCUCUCAAUAGGGCAGCUCCCUGGAAGUGGGCACUGGCAUGUGGCCAUUUGGACAGCUAGGAGCCGAGGGAGCAGACAGGCAAUGAUCCAGCAUGUGCAGCUGGCAAGAGCCCAGCAGAUGCCCAGGUCAGGAGCCAAACAGGAGGCCUCCUCCCUGCUCACCUUCUGCAUCCUCAGAGCCCAUUCGGGACACACAGGCACUCCCUGGGGUGCGCUGGGGAGCAGGCUCCAGGCCCUGCAUGUUAGGCAUGCUGCAGCACAGCACCCUGGCCUUGCAGGUGCCCUGACACCUCCCUGUCCCAUGGAGCAAGAUGGAUGUCAAGGAACACGGGACAGGAAGGUGUUGGCUGUCAAUGUGGCCUGGCCCAGCCAAGAGAAGGGAGCAGAAGAAAGCAGUGGGAUUAGUGCUGUCUGCACGCAUGGACCACUGGACAAGUACAGCAUGGCUGGACGAGUGCAGCAUCGCUGGACGAGCACAGCUUCACCGAGGCUUGGCCCCAUCUAGUGGCUUUGCCUGAGACCAGCCUGGAGGUCUUGCUGCAGGCCUUGCUGAGCAGCCCCAGAGCCUGGUCCCGGGGCAGAAAACAUUCCCAGGGACCCAUGCACCUUCCCCAGCUGGGAUGACGCGAAAUCCUGCAAAGGGCUGUCCGAGACACAAGCUCCAGGUUCGGAGGGAGUUUGCAGGGCAGGAGGGAGCACAGUGCCAGCUCCAGGCCAUGCUGGAAAGAAGCUCAAGCUCAUGGGAACUGGGCUUUCCCUGGGGAGGUGGUUCUGUCAGCCAGCAGAGGAGGCUGGGGGUCCUUGUCAUUGGCACCCCUCUUCUGGUAAAGCACCCCCUGCCUCCUACCUGACAUCGGCUGAGGCGCUGAGCCGGGCAGCCUCCCUGCGCAUCCUGGCCAGCACGGCCCCCGCCUCACGCUGCACGCACACCAGCUGUGGGUCGCUCAGCACCCUCUGCAUCAGCUCCUGGUGCCUCCCAAUGCACACGGCCGCAUCCUGCAGAAGGAGGGUCAGAGGCAUGGGGCCUUACCUGGCGGCUCCGGGGCCAGCACGGGACAGGUGCCUGUGACUGCACCCUAAGGGACUAGCAAAGGGGACAGGGGACAGCCCUGCAGCCAGGAGUGCUGGUCCAGGAGAAGUUGUACUGAGUUUUGGGCAACGAGGGUGAAAUGUCGCUGUGUGCUGGACUGCAGAUGGGCUCUUUGGAAACGUCUACAACCUGCGGUGCUGCAGCCCCCGUUACCUGAGUCCCUGCCAGUGCAUCAGCACUCCGCAGCUCCUGGAUGCAGCUCUGCAGCAGCUCCGAUGCCCGCCUGAGGCUGGCCAUGAAGGGAUGCAGUUUCUGCGGGUAGGACACACAGCGGGUCACCUGUGAGACACAGAAGCCACAGUGGGGAUGCAGAGACACCGCGGGGAGGAGACAACACAGGUACACGAGGAUGGAGAGGGACACGCUCACCUGCACCCCAGGCAGCCUCUCACGGUGAGCAACCAGCUCCUUCUCGGACAGCAGCAGCAUGGUGUGGAUGCAGCCCGGCGAGACACUCUGCAGGAGGCAGGGAAGAGUCACCACAGCAAACCCCAUGGUGCAGCUCCCGGGUUACCCACGGUGAUGCUAGGGCUCAGUUGCCUGAGUGAGCUGAGGCCAGUGAGCUCAUUACAAAGGAAAAGGCUCCCAAGCUCCCUGGCAUGGGAAAUGGAAACAGGUUGCUCAUGCCAUAACCCCAUCCCCAUCCACCAGCUCCCUGGCAGAAAGCACCCACGGAAAGAACCUUGUGAGCAAACCCCUUCACUUGCACUAUCAAUGCUUCUCUGCACCAGAAGCAUUGGGGCCAGCACAGGAUUUAUCAGACAGGCUGCAACUUAGCCCUGAGCAGGCAGAGGCACAGGGCACUGCAGCAGGGAGGACCCCAUGGCCUCCAGGACAGCACAAGGCACUCCCAUGGCACUGCCUUCGCAUUGGCAUGGAAACCCUGCCAGGAUGAAUUGACCAUCACUGUGGAGCCAAUCUCCAGGUGAGCUCAGCUAGUGGGAUGCUGAAGGGGUUUGGGGCACACCGCAGUGUUGGGUGAUAGCAGGGCCAAGAAAAAGGACAGAUCCUGUGGGGCUGGGAAGGGACAUUCUGACCCAAACUGCCGGUCCCUCAUGGCUGGCAUUCGAGGAGCUGGAGAGAUGCAAGUACCAAGUGUGAGUUUGGUUUGGGCGGCUGGGGCAAACGGGAUCUCUGUGCCCUGCUGGGGGACGGUCUGUGCUGCUGAAGACAUGCUCAGAAAUUAGAGACUGAUCAGCAACUUUGGGAACAAAUUGGUAGUUGUUUAAGUGCUGCAAGACCUACAGGGAGUCAGGAGCCAGGACUGGCCACUGGGGAGGAAGCGGCAAGAGACACGUGGGUUUUCUACAUCAGCGCAUUGCAAUGCAGCUGCAGGCAGCUGAGAGCUGCCUCAGUAAAUCCACACCGUGAUGCUUAUGGGUAAAAUAUAUAAGUGAGAUAAAAACCAUGGCCUCGGGCAUGGUGGCAUUGGGGGCUGCCAGAAAAGCUGCUGCCAUCCAGAAGAUUGCACCUCAUGACAGCUGCCAUGGAGGCUCUGAGGGACCCUUGGAGGGCAGCAGCACUUGCUCCUGGGUAGGGACCCCCUAGCAUGUCCGUGGCACAGGAACACAGUGCCCAGCGUACCUGGACAGAGCGUAGGGCCGAGAACAGGACAGGGGCAGGUGGCCGCUUCCUGGCAUCCACCACGACAGUGAGCCCACCAUCCUUUGCUUCUCGCCUAGUAAGGGGAAAUAAAGCAGGAGGCAGAUUGUACUGGUUAGAAGCAGCAGGAUAAGUGUGGGUCUCCCCCCCCGGCAGGACCCGCUUGAAGUCCCCUCCCAUGGCUCCACACCCCUGAGCAGCAGGAUGAGGGCAGGCAGGAACUGGCAGCUGCAGGCAAUGGCCUCGUCCCCAUGGGACGCCCCGGCCACGGGAAUUGCUGGACCUUCAAUAAUGCAUCCUCAGGGCUGGCUGCACUGGGCACUGGGGACAGCGAACACAGUGGGGACCACGCAGAAUGUCCACAAAGCAGGAUGUGCAGGAUGCUGGGCAUACACCCUGGCUUGGUCGGGGCACUGCCUGGGACCCCCAAGCUGGGAAGCAGCUGGGGGGAUCCCUGGCAGGUCCUCCUGGCCCUUACCUGGGGAGGGAGCAGAGGUAGAGGAUGAGCCUUGCCAACUCAGUGGCCGAGCACCACGUGGUCCCCCAGGCGCUGCCGCUGGUCGUCACCUGGAGGAGGGCCCUGCCCAUCCUGUCCGAGCUCCCUGUGUGGAAAGGUGCAAGUCACCCCUCCAGCAGCCACCCGCCAGCUGCAAACUCCAGCUAUUAGCAACACCCCAGGAGGGGCCAGGGCUCCCAUUGGCCUCACUGCUGCUCGCCAAGCAGUAAUGGCUGCUGAGGGGUGCAGGAGCAGGCUCUGCCCCAGCUCGGCUUGGCGGGCUCAGCCAGGUUAAUACUGUGCAGCUGUGGUGGCGCAGCGGCCACCCCAGUGCCACUCCCAUGCAGCCUCCCCUGGCCCCUCUGGACUGGCAACACCAGCCCACGAGGGCACUCAGCACGAACUCAGCUGCUGGGGGCAUUUUUCUUGAAAAAGAUGGGUUUUGUCACUGUUUUUCGGCUCUUGGGAAAAGGAAGAAGCCAAACGUUUAGUGUUUGGCAGCAACAGGCUGAACGGCUUCAUUGGUGAGGAAUGGUGUGGGAGGGCUCGGUGCAGCUGGGAACUGGGGCAGCUGCUCAGAGCAGACUGCUUGUUUUUAUGUUUUAAAUUUUUUUUGCCCAGCUGAAAAUAAAUUUUCUGUGUGGCAGCUUUCUGGUCUCCAGGAAAGCCCUGAAACCUUCCUCCAGAAAACCCUCUCCAGCAGCACAGCAUUUUCCCUCUGGAGGCUUCUCCCAGCAUCUCCAGAGGGUUUCAUGGUGCCAGAGGUACCUGGCAGGCACACGAUGCCUGAGUGCAGCAGUCUGGCAUGCAGAUCCUGCCAGGCCGGUGGCUCCCGGCCGGGGAUGCCAGUGCUGGGCACAGAGGGACCGUUCUUGCAGCCAGUGCUUUCCAGGGAUCGUUCUUCCACAGGAGCAGCAGCUGCAUCUGUACCUGCCCAUGGGGACAGAGGAGAGAGGAGCUGGCAAUGCACAACAAGGCAGAGAAAUGCAAAAGCGCCCGCAGAGCCCAGGCAGGCACCGCAGCCCUGCUCAGAUUAUACCUUUUCCAGCUGGCUUGGCUCUGCCCAUCCUGGGCGAGUAAAUGGCAGACAUCUUCUUCCAGGCCCCUUCAUGCUGGCUGGUGGCUCUUUCGUCCCCAGGGGCUGCCCCGAACCGUGGGCCCUUCAGGAAGGAGAACCUGUGGCCGGAGCCCAGGGGGAGCCGGGGGCUGCCCUGCUGCGGCAAUGCCUCUGCCUGCACCCCGGGACUCGUUCUGCGGGGACGGCGGGUGAGGAGCGUGGGGCUGCCAGCCCCCCUCCCAUGCUGCGUGGGGGUCUCACAGGGAAUAGCAGGGGGUGGCUCGGGGCUGGGGCCAUCCGGCUCCUCCAGGAUGGCUGCCAUCAGCCCAGGGCCAAAGCUCACUGGGUUCUGUAGUGCGGCCAGGUAGGAGUCACGGUGGCGGCACCGUGGGCCGUGUGGCCCUGGCUCCAGGCUCAGCUUCCUCCUGAGGCACGGGGUGCAGGGACCUUCCUCUGAGCUUGGAGGCCCUCCGCAGGGCCAGGCAUCUGCCCCCGGUCCCCCAUUCACCAUGGGGAUCGUCGCCUCAGCCCUGGCCCCCAUCGGCCCCGCCGGGCAGGCAGGUGGCAGGGACCUGGCCAGGAGGUCCAGCUGCUCCUGGGAGACCUCCAGCAGUUUCACAUACUCCCCCUCCAGGUUCUGGCUGACGAUCUCGCAGAGGCUGGGCACGGCCAGCAUGGUUGGCUUCUUCUGCAGCCCCGCCUGGUCCACCUUGAUCAGUCCCGGGUAUCUUCCCUGGCUCAAUUUCCGAGAGGUGAACUUGCACCCUGGGACCGUGCCCGCAACGUUGCCAUAGGGCACCGGAGCGUCUGCCGUGCUGUGGGGUGCAGGCAUGCUGGGUGCUGCCAGCUCAGCUGCAGGUUCAGGAGCGGAGCCAUACUGGGCCCCUGUGGGUGCACCAUCAUCUCCAGUCUUGGGCUUAUUGAUGAACUCUGGUGUGGCGAUCUUGCUCCAUGGCAGCGGGGUGAUGCCGUUCUGGGUGGCCACCAAGCAGGUGUGCAGGGGGGCUCUGGUCUGGUCACCAUUUAUCUCCUCCAGCCACUCAUUGGUAAAGAGCAGUGCGUAGGCAGCCUCGGGGAUGGGUGUCUUCUCCACCGUGCACAGGUCGCGGGAGAGGUGCUUGACGGUGAUGCGUGCUGAGUGCUCCUCACAGGGCUCCGCUUGCAGGUAGAAGUCCCCGGGGCGCAGCAGGAGGGGGUUGAGUGGUGCAAGGUGAACAACCACUUUCUCGUGAAGACACAAGGGCCAGCCUUCAUGGAGAAAGAUGCAGUUAAAGUAGGGAGCCUGGGAGGGAGGAAGAACACAGAGCAUGAGUGAGGGUCCCCACCAGCUCAGUACCCUCCCAGCUGGCCCUGCAUGCUCUCACUGCUCAGCUCUGCACUUCCUAUGAUGGGGACUGAAGAGCCCGGUGACUCGGCGGGAUGCCCCUGAGCCAAGCCACAGCAGGGUCCUGCAAGCACAACCUAAGCCUGUGGCCAUUCCCGGGGUGCUGAGUGCUCCCCAUGUGCUAACAGAGGGGAAACCCCCACUGGAGUCUCUGCAGGGGCAAGACAGGGUGACCCGUGAGUCUUCCCCCCUUAUCUCAGGGACUGCAUGUGCCAGGCUCUGUGCUGGAUCUAUCCCGGGAAGCUGGGUACACCACAGUCCCUUCUGUGGGGAAGACACAGCGACAGGGAAGGGGGCAUGCAGAGGGGGACCCUGCAGCCUGGAGCAGGGCUUGGCCACACAAGGUGUCACGCUAUAGGGCAAAACCCCCAUGGUCAGGAGCGGGGCGCAGAGCACUGCAGCACGGGGGGCAUGCGGGCUUACGCAGGCUGCCUGCCGCACAUGCUCGAAGAGGCGCUUGGCUGGGAUGAGGAACUGGAGCAGGCAGCAGAGUCCAUCUCCCCGGUAGCUGGUCUCCAGCAGCCGAAACACUUGGCCCAGGACUGUGGGGGCUGUGGCUUCAAAUGGGGGGUAGAGGGCCUGAAGGGCACUCUGCACCGCCGUGUCCAGCGACCCAGUGUCCUGCAGGAGAAAAGCAUUGCUGGUGAGGAGAGUGGCCCCAGCACAGGACGCUGCCAACCCCCACAGAGCCUCUGCCCACCAUCCUGCACUGCACCGCUGCAUUGUGCCUCCGCUGGGUCCCUGGUACGCCCACGCUGGUAAUGCUGCCAAGCUUGGGGGGCUCCAAACCUUCCUGGCCUGGAAACUGGGGAAGAACUGGGUGUAGAGCACCCCAAGCACCACGUGGCCUGGGGACAGGAGCACAGCUGGGUCUGGUUCCCAGCACUGGGCUGUGGCUUAAGGAGCCUGAGAUGAGCCCCAAGCACAGCCUGCCAGGUCGGAAUGCUGGCUAUGUGGAGGUGGAGGAGCCGCAGCAGCCAAGGGGUUAAGCCAAGCCAGACACUGACCGUGGGGAUGUGCCAGGCUCAGCAGCUUGCUGUAGGAAUGUAGCUGAUAGGAGGAAGGACAAACAUCUGAAGAUGGAUAGGGUGUUUUUGUUCAGACUCAUCACUGAAUUUGCUGAAAUCAAAAUUAGUCCUCAGAGCAUUUUCUGGGAAGUGCUCUGCUGGGUUACAGCCCCCUUCCCUGCACUGCUUCCAGACGGGGGCAAGGAUGCUGGUUUCAUGCCACACUUAAACUGGCAGUUCUGAGCUUGCUCUCCCAGCUUUGUGGGAGAUGUUGGCUGUGCAGACCCAGCUGGUGAAGUGGGUACACAGAGGGAAGCCAUCAGACAGCUCCCGUUAAAUCCCAGCCGUGUUACAGGCAGUGCGGGGGUGACUACAGACAUGGCUGCCAAAAGGAGUCCAUCAGUGAGUGGGAAAGACAGGCUUCUCCAAUUCCUUGGGGAGUAUAUCUGCAGGAGAGGCUCAAAUAAAAAAGAAAUCAGACUGGGGCCAGCAUCUGGGAAGUGGGUGGGCAAACAGCACCUUUUCUACUGGAAAGGGUGCUGUUGCAGGAGAGAGACAGGUUCCUGUGUGGUGCAGGGUCAGGCCCAGCCUAGCUGGCUGGGGAUCAGCUGCUCUGCUGCAGAGUCUCAUCUCUGCCCAUCACCCAGGGCUAGGCUCCAGAUUUAACUGCAGAGGGACCCCAGUACCGCAGGCAGCCGGUGGGAGCUGCCACAAAAAUGAGCAUCCUCCCAGCAGCAGGGACAGUGGCCAGGUCCUGCACGUUGGGCAGCCACAGCUUGCUGUCGUCCCUGUGCUACUGUGUGGGCACCUGGGAAGUCAGGUGGGAUUAGCUGAAGGUGGGCAUUAGUUUCAGGCAGCUGAAACUGGCCUGGGAGCCCAUACAGAGACAAAGUGGCCUCAGUUAAUUCAGCUUAAUUAGCUUUAAUGCACGUUAGCUAAAGCACUUUGCAGUCACACUUGGUUAAUUCUCCUUGACUUUUUCUCUGUAUCUCCACACAAAGAUGUCCUGCCCUUGGGCCUGGCAGGAGAAGCCAUGGGGCCUGGGCAGAGCAGGAGGAGAGCAAGUCCUUUCUUGGUGCCAUGAUCUGCAAUAGGUUAUCCUGCCAGGCUUUCUGCACACCAGCUGUUGGAUCACUGGUCUUCUCACACUUGGUCUUACUUUGUAAAAUUCCUAGGAGGGAUGGGAGACUUUGCUCUGGAAAAGCCCUGUUGCAGCGUAAAGCCCAGCUCCUCACUCUGCCUUGCUCCCAGGGGGCCCCAGCACAGCCACCCACUCCCAGGCACCGAGUCUGGCUGGGCACCCACCACCUCCUUGCCCGGCGACCACUGAGCUUGGCUCCUUCCUUGUCCCAGCAUGGAGGUGGGGAGCACCAUCUGUAACAGCAAAGGGGGAUCCGUCCAACUCCUAAUGCUGCCAUGAGAGACGGGCCAGCACUGCCUGCCCUGCCUGCGCUUGCCUUCACCAGAGCUCGCUGCUCAGAGUCACCUUUGCACAGCCCUGGCACAUUCUGAAACUGGCUCUUUUGAAACCGAACUAAACUCUUACUGGCCAAGCUCAUGUGGCACUGAUAAAAAAGCAAAAGAAAACAGAAAGAGAAGCCAGCUCCCCCGAGAUCAGGGCUGCUGGGGUUCAGCUCCAGGAAGGCUGCAUCACGGGGUGAUAAGCAGCCCCAAACCUAGCCAUUACCCGGCUCAGCCGUGCUGCUGGGGAGGGCUCUGAGGGUCAGGCGCACAGACCACAGUCCGACGGGGCCAAGGCACAGGCUUCCAACAGCCCCAUCCCACAGCCACCAUCUCUGGCAACACUGUCCCUCCAAAUCCCAGAGCAGCCUCCCCUGGCUGUGGCACCCACAGCCUGGCUCCCUGGCCUUGCCCAGUCCCGCACUUUGGAGGCUGGGGAGAAACGCCCAGAGUUUGGGUAAACUGGCUUGGAUAAUCUUGGGGUGUCUGAGUGGGGGAGACAACCCUGCCGCAGAGGGAAAAAGGAAAAUCUUCCAAAUCACCACCAAAACCCCACAGCAAAGUGACGCGCCAGAGGAUGGAUCGGCUGAAUAAACAAAGCCGCUCCCCUGUCAAUGGAAUAAAAACGCCCAGGACUUCAUCCAGCAGCGGGAACAGUGUGAGCCAACGUCGGGGGAGAAGUACUGACUGAUGGAGGCACCAGACGCUGCCUGUGUUGCGCUGGGGAACAUUUUGGCCUGGAAUGACUAAAAAUGUUUUCACUGAGUGUCACAAAUCACUUCAUCACUGCGAGAGGAUUUUGGGGUAAGCAUGGUGCAGUGGCUCCGCGUUCAUGGGAGAAGCUGAGGCCAGGCCUACCGGGGAGCUGUUAGAAAUCCAAAAGCAACCAAUUAGCCCACGUCCCUCCGCCAGCUGCGAGGGAGUGCAGAACUGAAACAAAAGGCAUUAGGGACCAUAAGGAGAUUUACAUUUGCAAAGCUAUUUCCAUUUUAAUAAGCCAAAGUGCUGUUAAAUAGAGAUUGAUAUUUCUCCCCAAAUACCCAUAUUUUUAAAGUGGUGUACACCAACACCACGAGCUGGGCUUUGGUGUUUUGGUGCUGUAAAGUUGUUUUAUUUGUACCCAAAGCCACAGGGUGACUCAGCUCCAUCUCCUUUCUCCCUCCUGCUCAGGAAGGUGGAAGGUUUGAGUGCCGGGACCAGCCUUGAAUAACAAUUCCUCUCCCUCUCCUGCAGCUCUGGCUGUCAGCAGCUUUGGCAGGGCAUGAAGCAAACGCUAACAAACAGCCCCAGCCCAGCAGAGCGGGAUGCCAGCGCUCAGCACAGCAUCGCCCAGGAGCCCGGGGCAACGGUGGGUGGCACUGCAGUGAGAAACGAGGUGGCCAGCCUGGGGAUGGAUCCGCCGAGCAUCCCAUCCCUGCACGCCUGGCAUAGUUCACGCAGCAGCACCCACUUGCUGAACCCCAUCCCGCUGCCAAACUUUGCACAGAAGUUUUAGCAUCGUGGGCCGUGGCCCCGCAUGCACCCACCCGAGCGGCCGACGGCCACCUCCGCCUUCGCCCCCGACCUCCGCCUUCGCCAUCAAUGCCCACCCCGUGCUCGGGAGGGCCGGGGGCGCGGGGGCCCGCAGGUGCUCGCAGGGGGUCAGCAGCGAGCGGGGAAGGUCAGCAGAAAGGACAGGAAAGUAGAAGGAAUUACCAUGUUUACUGGGAAGUGGCAGAGGGGCCGGGGGGGCCCCGCGGCACCAACCGUCCCGUCCCUCUUCCUUCCUGGGGGGAGCGCUGCCCCACCGCCCCGGUUCUCCCGCCCGUCCGCGGGCGGCUCGUCCCCGGCUGCCGGCGCCUCCCGGAGCUGCGGGCGGGGGCGGGCAGCCCCGGCCCCCUCGGCCCCGGCCCGGCUCCCUCCGCCCGCAGCGCCUCUUCUGAGGAGAAAAAAGAAAAAAAAAAAAGAUGGAAAAAGAAAAGGCAAAGAAAGAGCGAGAGCGAGCGGCGGGGCGGGCCGGGGGAGGGGGAUGGCGGGGGGCGGCUCGGGGAGCGCCCGGCUCCGCCGCUGCGAGCGCCGCCGGGCCGGGGGCGGCCGCUGCUCUGUGCCCGCUGCAGGGACCGGAGGGGACCGGGCCGGGCCGGACCGGACCGGGCCGGGGGCAGCGCCCGCCGUGGGGUCCCGAGGCGGCGGCUUCUCCCGUGGAGCUCCCCCCGUCUCCCACGCCGGGUGCCCCCGGGGCAGGGGCGGGGGCGGCGCUGGCUCCGUCCCCCCGGGGGAACUGGGGAGAAGGGGGAGUAUGUGUGCCUGUCUGUCUGUGUUGUGUGUGCAAGAUCCCCGGAUAAAAAAGCCCAGCGGGGGGCGGCAGGAGGGCGGCAGCCCCCGGCGGGUCCUCCCCGGCCCUGCCGCACCGUGCCGGGCUGGGUCGCCUCGCCGCCCCGCUGGAGCAGCUCCCGCUCCCGGCUCGGGGGAUGCUUCACAGCAAAGGCAAAGUGUGUAAAAGUGCAUGUGCGGGCACCCAGUCCGCAUGUGCAUGUGGGUGCAUACAUGCAGGCAGGUAGUAUUUGUGGCAGUUUCCCUCUGUUUAAAUAAAUACAGGCCAGUAUUGGUACGAACCAGAAGCACUCA